GAUGAACGCUGGCGGCGUGCCUAAUACAUGCAAGUCGAGCGAACAGACGAGGAGCUUGCUUCUCUGACGUUAGCGGCGGACGGGUGAGUAACACGUGGAUAACCUACCUAUAAGACUGGGAUAACUUCGGGAAACCGGAGCUAAUACCGGAUAAUAUAUUGAACCGCAUGGUUCAAUAGUGAAAGACGGUUUUGCUGUCACUUAUAGAUGGAUCCGCGCCGCAUUAGCUAGUUGGUAAGGUAACGGCUUACCAAGGCAACGAUGCGUAGCCGACCUGAGAGGGUGGUCGGCCACACUGGAACUGAGACACGGUCCAGACUCCUACGGGAGGCAGCAGUAGGGAAUCUUCCGCAAUGGGCGAAAGCCUGACGGAGCAACGCCGCGUGAGUGAUGAAGGUCUUCGGAUCGUAAAACUCUGUUAUUAGGGAAGAACAAAUGUGUAAGUAACUAUGCACGUCUUGACGGUACCUAAUCAGAAAGCCACGGCUAACUACGUG
rnacentral:rRNA from 1 species